rnacentral:rRNA from 1 species
UACGUAGGGUCCAAGCGUUGUCCGGAUUUACUGGGCGUAAAGAGCGCGUAGGCGGUCUGUUAAGUGUAGAGUGAAAUCUCCAGGGCUCAACCCGGAAACUGCUCUGCAUACUGGCAGACUUGAGGGAUGCAGAGGAGACUGGAAUUCCCGGUGUAGCGGUGAAAUGUGUAGAGAUCGGGAGGAACACCGGUGGCGAAGGCGGGUCUCUGGGCAAUUCCUGACGCUGAGGCGCGAAAGCGUGGGGAGCAAACGGG